ensembl:lncRNA
UUCCUUCUCCAGGGUAUCUUCCCAACCCAGGGAUGGAACCUGCAUCUCUUGCAUCUCCUGCAUUGUAGGUGGGUUCUUUACCACUAGCAUCACCUGGGAAGCCCCAGUGGGUUGAGUGCUGGUCCCCGAAAGAUAUGUCCAACCAGACAUGCAGCCUCAAGUGAAGGAACACCUGCAUCCCCAGAAGCUGGAAGAGAAAAGGAAGGAGUCCCCUUGGAGCCCUCCUAGGGACCAUGGCUCUACUCCAUCUUGUUCCAGACCUAUGGCCUCCAUAAUUGUUGUGUGUGUUGGGGUGUGUAAUACACACAAAUGCGUAUGGGCAGAAUCCACAGAAGAUGCUGGAGGCUCAAGACUUAUUUAUUCAGGCUCACAAGAACACUGCUGGGGCUCUGCAUGAGAACACUGGAGGAAAAUCUUUCACUCACAGGGCAAGAGGAACUGACAGGUCCCUAAUGGUGUUAUUUUACGUGAAAAAACAUAAUCAGAAGUAGCAUUAGAACCACAGCUGACGACGGACGAUGGAUAACGUGAUUCUAGUCCUUACUCAACACCUGUUCCCCACAGGCUACCCUGUCUCCUGGGGACCAGCAGUACCUACAGGUGCAUCAACAACCAAAGGAAUUCUGUGAGAGAUCUAAAAUGUGAGGAGCAAAAUGUUCUUAAUUUCUCAAGAACACAAAUAAACAAUAGAGUUUAUUCACUCCC